ACCAGUGUGCUGUAGUGGUUUGAAUGUUGGACUAUGACUCUGGAGACCAGGGUUCAAAUCCUGGCUUAGCUG
rnacentral:tRNA from 1 species